rnacentral:misc_RNA from 1 species
UCGAAUUUUAUAAACUCGAGUCCUUCGAAAGGGGCAACCUUUUUUGAGGCUCGUUUUCAUAAAACCAACCCCCCUUUUGUGAACCAUCGCGUGAGUUAGUAGGGUGGGAGGGUGUACACACACCCCCCCUCGAAAGCUUGCGACCUUAUAUACCCCAGUAUUAAGUCUCAGAAUGUUACCUUGCGUACAACGCAAUAAAAAUA